GAUGAACGCUGGCGGCGUGCUUAACACAUGCAAGUCGAACGGUGAAGGCGGAGCUUGCUCUGCUGGAUCAGUGGCGAACGGGUGAGUAACACGUGAGCAAUCUGCCCCUGACUCUGGGAUAAGCGCUGGAAACGGCGUCUAAUACUGGAUACGAGCUGCGAAGGCAUCUUCAGCAGCUGGAAAGAACUUCGGUCAGGGAUGAGCUCGCGGCCUAUCAGCUUGUUGGUGAGGUAACGGCUCACCAAGGCGUCGACGGGUAGCCGGCCUGAGAGGGUGACCGGCCACACUGGGACUGAGACACGGCCCAGACUCCUACGGGGGGCAGCAGUGGGGAAUAUUGCACAAUGGGCGAAAGCCUGAUGCAGCAACGCCGCGUGAGGGACGACGGCCUUCGGGUUGUAAACCUCUUUUAGCAGGGAAGAAGCGAAAGUGACGGUACCUGCAGAAAAAGCGCCGGCUAACUACGUG
rnacentral:rRNA from 1 species